UACGUAGGGGGCAAGCGUUGUCCGGAAUUAUUGGGCGUAAAGGGCGCGUAGGCGGGCUUAUAAGUCUGAUGUGAAAGUGCGGAGCUUAACUCCGUAAAGCAUUGGAAACUGUAAGUCUUGAGGACAGGAGAGGAAAGUGGAAUUCCUAGUGUAGCGGUGAAAUGCGUAGAUAUUAGGAGGAACACCAGUGGCGAAGGCGACUUUCUGGACUGUUACUGACGCUGAGGCGCGAAAGCGUGGGGAGCGAACAGG
rnacentral:rRNA from 1 species